AUUGAACGCUGGCGGCAGGCCUAACACAUGCAAGUCGAGCGGUUGACGGGAGCUUGCUCCCUGAUUCAGCGGCGGACGGGUGAGUAAUGCCUAGGAAUCUGCCUAUUAGUGGGGGACAACGUUUCGAAAGGAACGCUAAUACCGCAUACGUCCUACGGGAGAAAGCAGGGGACCUUCGGGCCUUGCGCUAAUAGAUGGGCCUAGGUCGGAUGAGCUUGUUGGUGAGGUAAUGGCACACCAAGGCGACGAUCCGUAACUGGUCUGAGAGGAUGGUCAGUCACACUGGAACUGAGACACGGUCCAGACUCCUACGGGAGGCAGCAGUGAGGAAUAUUUGACAAUGGGCGAAAGCCUGAUCCAGCCAUGCCGCGUGUGUGAAGAAGGUCUUCGGAUUGUAAAGCACUUUAAGUUGGGAGAAAGGGUUGUAGAUUAAUACUCUGCAAUUUUGACGUUACCGACAGAAUAAGCACCGGCUAACUCUGUGCCAGCCGCCGCCGUAACAC
rnacentral:rRNA from 1 species